GAUGUAAAUAGAAAAUAAUUUGUGAAAACUUUUGGUUUCAGAAUGUCCCCGCGGCAAGUUUACACAUAGUAAAAAUUCUAACAAGGAAUCGUACAGAGGAAACUAAUCUAGUUAAAAGGCUUUCAUGUGAAUUAUUUUUCUGCUCACCAACACGUGACAAAUCUGGAAUAAACACAAGGUAUAUUUUUUUAGAAGUAAACAGAUUUUUCAAACGGUCGACAGAAAACAGAACAGAUAUUUCAAAUGGGAGAUUUCGGGAUGAAUGAAAUAAAUCAUCAUCUGCCUUCCUGAUGUAUUCUUACUGUUUUGCUUCCAAGUUUCGGCAUCUUCAAUAUUGUGGUUUGAUGUAGCAUUACUGCAGGCCAGAGAAUGGGCUACAUAGCAAUCUUCUGAAGGUGUGGUGCUCCUACCAAGACCCCCGGCAUGCUUUUGUAAAGCAUUUCUACCUUCAGCGGCCUUCUUUAAUCGCGAGAUGACACUUUUUGAUACACCCAUUGCAGCAGCUACAGUGGUGACACUUAGACCUGCUUCCAGUCGUCUAACCACUCGUCCACGAUCGUAGUGACUGAUGAUGAUGAAAGAGUCUCACCCUGAAAACGUUUUUCGGCUGCACUGUAACCAGUUGCAUGUAACAUCCCUGCCUCUGGUCCGUCGAAAGAUUGACAUUCAACUAUGAAGACCAGCAGUGAUCGCUUAGUCGUGGUUUGAAACAUAUUGUGCCGGGGCACACCCGCCAUUUCUUUUAUUUUUGUGAUGGAAAGAAAACAUCCAAAGAGCCCCACAAAACUUGUAUCCAUGUUCUGCAAAGGCCCUUCAGACUGAUUAUGAAAUAUUCACUGAUGUCUUUUCAAGCGUCUUCCUGUUAGCUUAGAGUAAACGCUGAGCGCAAAAGCUACUGUGUAUGAAAAGGAACUGCUGUUUUAAAAUAAGUUCAAGAAUUUGGUGUCAAGAAAUCAAAAAUUGUAAUGCUUAAAAUAGUGACCAAGGUCCAAGGAAUUUAUUGUAUUAUUGUUUUCUGCUUAAAUAUGUGCUAAAUAUGUAUUUUCUUUUGAAAUAAAAUCUAGAGGAACCCAAGCACUGGGGCGAGGGAAAGGACGAUUGCUUUCCCUCAUCCCCUGAUGAGUAAAAGGUAAGUGACGCACAAGUCUUUUUUGUUAUCUUGAAGACUGUCGAGAUAAAUUGUAAUCCCCGUUUGUAAGACAUAGAUCGAGGCAGUAUUUUUU